rnacentral:rRNA from 1 species
GACAGAGGUGGCGAGCGUUGUUCGGAAUCAUUGGGCUUAAAGCGUGUGCGGGCGGCGGCGUAAGUGUCGAGUGAAAGCCCGCAGCUCAACUGCGGAACGGCUCGGCAUACUGCGUCGCUUGAGGUUGGUAGAGGUGCUUGGAACUCUAGGUGGAGCGGUGAAAUGCGUAGAUAUCUAGAGGAACGCCUGAGGCGAAAGCGGAGCACUGGGCCAAUUCUGACGCUGAGACACGAAAGCGUGGGGAGCAAACAGG